rnacentral:tRNA from 1 species
CGUCAGAUAGUUCAGAGUGGUCUAGAGCAGUCGCUCGGCAAGCGAAAGACUUUCCCGGGUUCGAUUCCCGUUCUAGCGA